AGUGAACGCUGGCGGUAGGCCUAACACAUGCAAGUCGAACGGCAGCACAGUAAGAGCUUGCUCUUACGGGUGGCGAGUGGCGGACGGGUGAGGAAUACAUCGGAAUCUACUUUUUCGUGGGGGAUAACGAAGGGAAACUUACGCUAAUACCGCAUACGACCUACGGGUGAAAGCAGGGGAUCUUCGGACCUUGCGGGAUUGAAUGAGCCGAUGUCGGAUUAGCUAGUUGGCGGGGUAAAGGCCCACCAAGGCGACGAUCCGUAGCUGGUCUGAGAGGAUGAUCAGCCACACUGGAACUGAGACACGGUCCAGACUCCUACGGGAGGCAGCAGUGGGGAAUAUUGGACAAUGGGCGCAAGCCUGAUCCAGCCAUACCGCGUGGGUGAAGAAGGCCUUCGGGUUGUAAAGCCCUUUUGUUGGGAAAGAAAAGCAGCAGGUUAAUACCCCGCUGUUCUGACGGUACCCAAAGAAUAAGCACCGGCUAACUUCGUG
rnacentral:rRNA from 1 species